CCUCCUUUUUUCAGCAUCCGGGAAUAUUGCCCCAUGGGGCAAACCCUGCUGCCUCUCCUCCUCUUUCUUUCCUAAUUAUUUCGGUAUGUAAAGCUCUAUCAGCAGGGAAGAAAGAAAUGACGGUACCUGACUAAGAAGCCCCGGCUAACUACGUGCCAGCAGCCGCGGUAAUACGUAGGGGGCAAGCGUUAUCCGGAUUUACUGGGUGUAAAGGGAGCGUAGACGGCUAUGCAGGUCUGGAGUGAAAGGCGGGGGCCCAACCCCCGGACUGCUCUGGAAACUGUAGAGCUAGAGUGCAGGAGAGG
rnacentral:rRNA from 1 species